CCCUGGCUCAGGACGAACGCAGGCGGCGUGCCUAAUACAUGCAAGUCGAGCGGAUUUAUCCUUCGGGAUAAGUUAGCGGCGGACGGGUGAGUAACACGUAGGUAACCUGCCUAUAAGAUCGGGAUAACUAUCGGAAACGAUAGCUAAGACCGGAUAAUUGGUUUUCUCGCAUGAGAGAAUUAUGAAACACGGAGCAAUCUGUGGCUUAUAGAUGGGCCUGCGGCGCAUUAGCUAGUUGGUAGGGUAACGGCCCACCAAGGCGACGAUGCGUAGCCGACCUGAGAGGGUGAACGGCCACACUGGGACUGAGACACGGCCCAGACUCCUACGGGAGGCAGCAGUAGGGAAUCUUCCGCAAUGGACGCAAGUCUGACGGAGCAACGCCGCGUGAGUGAUGAAGGUUUUCGGAUCGUAAAGCUCUGUUGCCCUAGACGAACAGCAAGAGGAGUAACUGCCUUUUGUGUGACGGUAUAGGAGAAGAAAGCCCCGGCUAACUA
rnacentral:rRNA from 1 species